rnacentral:rRNA from 1 species
GACGAACGCUGGCGGCGUGGAUUAGGCAUGCAAGUCGGACGGUAGGGCUUUAUCGUAAGAUAGAGUUUGAGAGUGGCGAACGGGUGAGUAACACGUAGGAAUCUACCCUUAAGACGGGGACAACCCAGGGAAACUUGGGCUAAUACCGGAUGAGAGUGCGAGAGAUUGCAUUUAAAAGGAUGGCGAAAGUUGUCGCUUAGGGAUGAGCCUGCGGUCUAUUAGUUAGUUGGUGAGGUAAGAGCUCACCAAGGCGAUGAUAGAUAGGCGGCCUUAACGGGUGGUCGCCCACACUGGGAUUGAGAUACGGCCCAGACUCCUACGGGAGGCAGCAGUCGAGAAUAGUCUACAAUGGCCGGAAGGCUGAUAGUGCGACGCCGCGUGAACGAGGGAGCCCUUCGGGGUGUAAAGCUCUGUCUGGAGGGACGAAGGAAGUGACGGUACCUCCGGAGGAAGCCACGGCUAACUACGUG